rnacentral:rRNA from 1 species
AUUGAACGCUGGCGGCAGGCCUAACACAUGCAAGUCGAGCGAGCGGCGGACGGGUGAGUAAUGUCUGGGAAACUGCCUGAUGGAGGGGGAUAACUACUGGAAACGGUAGCUAAUACCGCAUACCAUCAGAUGUGCCCAGAUGGGAUUAGCUAGUAGGUGGGGUAACGGCUCACCUAGGCGACGAUCCCUAGCUGGUCUGAGAGGAUGACCAGCCACACAGGAACUGAGACACGGUCGAGACUCCUACGGUGGGCGUGGUUGGGGAAUAUUGCACAAGGGGCGCAAGCCUGAUGCAGACAUGCCGCGUGGGUGACGAAGGCCUUCGGUUUGUAAGGCACUUUCAGCGGGGAGGCGUUACCCGAAGAAGAAGCACCGGCUAACUCCGUGCCAGCAGCCGCGGUAAUAC